AUUGAACGCUGGCGGCAUGCCUUACACAUGCAAGUCGAACGGCAGCACGGGUGCUUGCACCUGGUGGCGAGUGGCGAACGGGUGAGUAAUACAUCGGAACAUGUCCUGUAGUGGGGGAUAGCCCGGCGAAAGCCGGAUUAAUACCGCAUACGAUCUACGGAUGAAAGCGGGGGACCUUCGGGCCUCGCGCUAUAGGGUUGGCCGCUGGCUGGUUAGCUGGUUGGGGGGGUAAAGGCCUACCAAGGCGACGAUCAGUAGCUGGUCUGAGAGGACGACCAGCCACACUGGGACGGAGACACGGCCCAGACUCCUACGGGAGGCAGCAGUGGGGAAUUUUGGACAAUGGGCGAAAGCCUGAUCCAGCAAUGCCGCGUGUGUGAAGAAGGCCUUCGGGUUGUAAAGCACUUUUGUCCGGAAAGAAAUCCUUGGCCCUAAUACGGUCGGGGGAUGACGGUACCGGAAGAAUAAGCACCGGCUAACUACGUG
rnacentral:rRNA from 1 species